AAUAUUAAAAAUUAAGUUAUCUAUAUAUCGUCGAAAUAAGGUCGACAGUAUCUACCCUGAACCAUAAAUUCAGGACUAUAGGUAUCAGACGUCAUAAU
rfam:Lactobacillus kalixensis DSM 16043 Scaffold23, whole genome shotgun sequence.